CUGUCUCAGAUAGCCAUGCAUGUCUAGUAUAAAUAACUACACAGUAAAACUUGCGAAUGGGCUCAUUAAAACAGUUAUAGUUUAUUUGAUAUAUUAUAUGGAUAACUCGUAGAAAAACUAGAGCUAAUACAUGCCAUAACCGUAGGUUGUAUUUAUUAGAUAUUCCUGGUAGGUGAUUCAUAAUAACUUAGCGAAUCGUGACUCGUUCACGAUAAAUCAUUCAAGUUUCUGCCCUAUCAUGCUUUCGAUGGUAGUGUAUUGGACUACCAUGGCUCUCACGGGUAACGGAGAAUUAGGGUUCGAUUCCGGAGAAGGAGCCUGAGAAACGGCUACUACAUCUAAGGAAGGCAGCAGGCGCGUAAAUUACCCAAUCCUGAUUCAGGGAGGUAGUGACAAGAUAUAACAACGUGAAGUCAAAUUUCGCGAUUUGUAGUGAGGUUAUUCCAAACCGAAAAUUCGAGUACGAUUGGGAGGAUAAGUCUUGGGUGCCGGCACCCGCG
rnacentral:rRNA from 1 species